rnacentral:rRNA from 1 species
CAGCAGCCGCGGUAAUACGAAGGGUGCAAGCGUUACUCGGAAUUACUGGGCGUAAAGCGUGCGUAGGUGGUGGUUUAAGUCCGUUGUGAAAGCCCUGGGCGCAACCUGGGAAUUGCAGUGGAUACUGGGUCACUAGAGUGUGGUAGAGGGUAGUGGAAUUUCCGGUGUAGCAGUGAAAUGCGUAGAGAUCGGAAGGAACAUCUGUGGCGAAGGCGACUAUCUGGGCCAACACUGACACUGAGGCACGAAAGCGUGGGGAGCAAACAGGAUUAGAUACCCCCGUAGUCCCUGUCUCUUAUAC